rnacentral:rRNA from 1 species
GAUGAACGCUAGCGACAGGCCUAACACAUGCAAGUCGAGGGGCAGCACAUGAGUAGCAAUACGAUGGUGGCGACCGGCGCACGGGUGAGUAACACGUAUGCAACCUGCCUGUAAGAGGGGAAUAACCCGGAGAAAUUCGGACUAAUACCGCAUAAUGCCACGAGACUGCAUGGUUUUGUGGUUAAACAUUUAUGGCUUACAGAUGGGCAUGCGUAUGAUUAGAUAGUUGGUAGGGUAACGGCCUACCAAGUCUACGAUCAUUAGGGGUUCUGAGAGGAAGGUCCCCCACGACUGGUACUGAGACACGGACCAGACUCCUACGGGAGCAGCAGUGAGGAAUAUUGGUCAAUGGGCGAGAGCCUGAACCAGCCAAGUCGCGUGAAGGAAGAAGGUUCUAAUGGAUUGUAAACUUCUUUUGCUAGGGGAAUAAAGGACGGUACGUGUAACUGUUUUGUAUGUACCUUGCGAAUAAGGAUCGGUAACUCCGUGCCAGCAGCCG